UCGAGAAUCAUUCACAAUGGGGGAAACCCUGAUGAUGCGACGCCGUGUGAGCGAUGAAGGCCUUCGGGUUGUAAAGCUCUUUCGUGAGGGAACAAGAAAGAAGGACUAAUAAUCUUUUGAUUUGAGAGUACCUUAUAAAGAAGCACCGGCUAACUCCGUGCCAGCAGCUGCGGUAAUACGGAGGGUGCAAGCAUUAAUCGGAAUUAUUGGGCGUAAAGGGCGCGUAGGCGGACAGGCAAGUCAGAUGUGAAAUUUCGGAGCUCAACUUCGAAGCUGCAUUUGAAACUACCGGUCUAGAGGAUAGGCGGAGAAAACGGAAUUCCACAUGUAGCGGUGAAAUGCGUAGAGAUGUGGAAGAACACCUGUGGCGAAAGCGGUUUUCUAGCUUAGACCUGACGCUGAGGCGCGAAAGCAAGGGGAGCAAACA
rnacentral:rRNA from 1 species